UGGAUGCCUAUCAACUCUUCCCCACUUCUAACUUUCCAUGAUGCCUUGUUCCCCAUUACCACCGGUUCCUUUUUCCUUCAAAAAGUAAUGAACAACCUUCUUUCUCCUCUUAAUCAUACUUCUUGUUGUGAUGUUAGCAAGGUUGGGAACAAAAGAGAAAUUGAAGGAGCUUCAAGGUUGGCCAACUUCACCAAGUAAAUGCCCAUUUGAUCUCUUCAAAAUGUUGAUUCUAGUGUUUGAAAUCGAUGUGAAGUGGUUGUUGGGGAGAUAUCCAAAUCAAGAGUGGUAGACCGGUGUGGAUCUUGUAAGACUGCCUGUAGAUGUUGUCUUGUCCUGUUGUAAAUUUUGAGUUCUUGUUAUUGUCUACCCCUGUAUUCCUGUACUUUGUAUUUUUGGACUUCUGUAUCUCGGUAUUGUGUAUUUUGUACAGUUUGUAAUUCUGUAACCCAGUUAGUUUGUUAUAGUUUUGUUUGUCCUAAACCAGGUCUUGAGGCCUUGCAGGUCUACUUGGUUCACGCUCUGUGGAUCUGCGGCCGUUUGUCUGCGCACCGGGUCCGGCGAGCCGGGUUCGGGGCGUGACAAAACCCGAGUUGCAACAUUUUAGUGAGAUCUUCAUUGAUGGUGAAGGUUUCAUUUGGAGGUUGAGGACAACCAAUGAAGGAUGAGUUUGACGCCGCUCCUUUGGCCCUUCGGCUUCAAGAUCGAUGGCUUUGUCAUCUCUAAUUCAGGAGUCUAAUAUAGGGAAAGUAGAUUAUUGGUAUUGGUUUAUGAGUGCGUGAAGUGGUAGGAAGUGUUGCUUUACAGAUAGCAUUUUAUAUAUGAUAUUUUCAUGUUCUA